rnacentral:rRNA from 1 species
AUUGAACGCUGGCGGCAGGCCUAACACAUGCAAGUCGAACGGUAACAGGAAGCAGCUUGCUGCUUUGCUGACGAGUGGCGGACGGGUGAGUAAUGUCUGGGAAACUGCCCGAUGGAGGGGGAUAACUACUGGAAACGGUAGCUAAUACCGCAUAACGUCGCAAGACCAAAGAGGGGGACCUUAGGGCCUCUUGCCAUCGGAUGUGCCCAGAUGGGAUUAGCUAGUAGGUGGGGUAACGGCUCACCUAGGCGACGAUCCCUAGCUGGUCUGAGAGGAUGACCAGCCACACUGGAACUGAGACACGGUCCAGACUCCUACGGGAGGCAGCAGUGGGGAAUAUUGCACAAUGGGCGCAAGCCUGAUGCAGCCAUGCCGCGUGUAUGAAGAAGGCCUUCGGGUUGUAAAGUACUUUCAGCGGGGAGGAAGGGAGUAAAGUUAAUACCUUUGCUCAUUGACGUUACCCGCAGAAGAAGCACCGGCUAACUCCGUA